rnacentral:rRNA from 1 species
CCCUUAGAUGUUCUGGGCCGCACGCGUGCUACACUGAUGCAUUCAACGAGUCUAAAACCUGGUCUGAUAGGGCUGGGUAAUCUUUUGAAAGUGCAUCGUGAUUGGGAUAGAUGAUUGCAAUUCUUCAUCUUCAACGAGGAAUGCCUAGUAAACGCAAGUCAUCAGCUUGCAUUGAUUACGUCCCUGCCCUUUGUACACACCGCCCGUCGCUCCUACCGAUUGAAUGAUCCGAUGAAUACCAUGGAUUGAGAGUACGAAUAGGUUCGCUUAUUUCUGCUUCUCGAGAAGUGGAGGAAAUCUUAUCAUUUAGAGGAAGGAGAAGUCGUAACA